GAUGAACGCUGGCGGCGUGCCUAAUACAUGCGAGUCGAGCGAACAGACGAGGAGCUUGCUCCUCUGACGUUAGCGGCGGACGGGUGAGUAACACGUGGAUAACCUACCUAUAAGACUGGGAUAACUUCGGGAAACCGGAGCUAAUACCGGAUAAUAUAUUGAACCGCAUGGUUCAAUAGUGAAAGACGGUUUUGCUGUCACUUAUAGAUGGAUCCGCGCCGCAUUAGCUAGUUGGUAAGGUAACGGCUUACCAAGGCAACGAUGCGUAGCCGACCUGAGAGGGUGAUCGGCCACACUGGAACUGAGACACGGUCCAGACUCCUACGGGAGGCAGCAGUAGGGAAUCUUCCGCAAGGGGCGAAAGCCUGACGGAGCAACGCCGCGUGAGUGGUGAAGGUCUUCGGAUCGUAAAACUCUGUUAUUAGGGAAGAACAAAUGUGUAAGUAACUAUGCACGUCUUGACGGUACCUAAUCAGAAAGCCACGGCUAACUACGUG
rnacentral:rRNA from 1 species